GUCUUGAAUUACAUGUUACUUUUGGUAACUGUGUGUGGUUGGUAAUAUAGAUGCGAUCACCCAGUGUUGUAUUACUCAUUGCAAGUUUGCUCUUGACGAAUAACAAAGUGAAGCCCGAAUAGAGAGUGAAAAACAAGAUGUGGUAUCUUAAACGUGAUGAGCAAACAUUUUUGUUAAAAGUUUGGAGUAUGAUUGAAGAAAAAGUUGAAGAAACCAGUCCGGUUAGUCAAAAAGGCCAAACGUUGGUUGAGGUAAAAGAUGUAAGAGCUUGCAAGGGCAGCGAAUCGAAGGUUGAGGUAAGU